GAGAAUGGCUAGAAUCCUAUAGAAGUAAUGAAGUAUGUGAAUCAUCAGAUCCAGAAAGUAUAAUGUGUCCAGGAUAAAGUAGUAUAUUUCUUUUAAAAAUACAUUAUUUAAUAAUGAUGGAAAAACACUGAAAUAGCUGCUUCUUUAUACCUCUGCAUAGCUCUACAUAUAUAAUGUUGUCCUGUGGUUAGAUGUAUUGUAGGAAUCAGCUCUUUGAAACUGGCACUGUUGUGGCUUAGUAUCAAGUGAGUGCUGAGUAAAUGAAUGAAUGGCAAUGGAUAAAUGUUAUCUAGGACAAAUAGUUUAAACCAAUCCAUAGUGAAGUCAAAUACUUUUCUAACAUAUUCUUUUUUAAUUUUUCAGGUGCACUUGUUUCACAAAAUUCUAAGGGGAUGUCAUAAGAGAAAUAAUAAAGGUGUGGAAGUCUCUGUUCUCAAAAAAAAAAAAAAAGAAACAACAAAAAAGAAAACUUGUAUUUUAUUGUCCCAUUUGGCAUAAAUCUAGUGACUUUAUAAGGUCUGUUUCUAAACUGUCUAUUCUGUUCCAGUCUCUGUCUACUCAUAUCAUCACUGUCUUAGUGAUGGUAAGUCUUGAUACCUGGUAAAAUCUCCUUCAGGAUUGCCUUGACCACCUUAGUUUUUUGUACUUCCAUAUAAAUUAGAAUCAUCAAUUUCCUAAACACAAAAUCUGCAAAAAUUUUGGGGGGAUUACAUCUAAUCUAUAGAUCAUUUUAGGGAAAAUGGAUGUUUUUCAAAUACAAAGCCCA
ensembl:lncRNA